rnacentral:lncRNA from 1 species
AAAUCUUCACGCUCGAUGAAAACAGUCGAGGUAAAAUUCAAAACCCGUGUUCCGCGUUCUGGAAAUUUCGGGUGUGACGGGCAUUCCACUGGCAAAGAUCCUCCUGGAUGAUUCCUUAUUGUUAUCGGCAGAGGGUUCAAAACUGCAAACCUACGAUCAGUGUCAUCAUCUAACUCUUCGCGGAUGCAUCGCUCAAGUUUCUCAAGGUGCUGUAUGUUGUCGUUUCGAGUAAUACCCAUCUCGGAACAAAACCGGUUGAUAGCUGUUGGGGUAUAUCCGCGCCUGCGAAGCCCUUCCAAGGUGAGCAAUCGUGGAUCGUCCCAUCCGGAAACAUGACCUUGUGACACCAGCGUAUUGAGUUUUCGUUUGGAUAAAACGUUGUAGGUGAUGUUGCAUCGUGAAAACUCCCAAGUAAUUGGCUUGUACAUAUCCAACGCAUGGAGAAGCCAGUAAUAAGGUCCAUUUGGAGCCUGUCGUGUCUCAAAUUCUAAAGUGCAUAGCGAAUGUGUGACGUUCUCGAUACUGUCAACGAG